UCCGUAGGGUGAACCUGCGGAGGGAUCAUUACCGAGUUUACAACUCCCAAACCCCAAUGUGAACGUUACCAAUCUGUUGCCUCGGCGGGAUUCUCUUGCCCCGGGCGCGUCGCAGCCCCGGAUCCCAUGGCGCCCGCCGGAGGACCAACUCCAAACUCUUUUUUUCUCUCCGUCGCGGCUCCCGUCGCGGCUCUGUUUUAUUUUUGCUCUGAGCCUUUCUCGGCGACCCUAGCGGGCGUCUCGAAAAUGAAUCAAAACUUUCAACAACGGAUCUCUUGGUUCUGGCAUCGAUGAAGAACGCAGCGAAAUGCGAUAAGUAAUGUGAAUUGCAGAAUUCAGUGAAUCAUCGAAUCUUUGAACGCACAUUGCGCCCGCCAGUAUUCUGGCGGGCAUGCCUGUCCGAGCGUCAUUUCAACCCUCGAACCCCUCCGGGGGGUCGGCGUUGGGGAUCGGCCCCUCACCGGGCCGCCCCCGAAAUACAGUGGCGGUCUCGCCGCAGCCUCUCCUGCGCAGUAGUUUGCACACUCGCACCGGGAGCGCGGCGCGGCCACAGCCGUAAAACACCCCAAACUUCUGAAAUGUUGACCUCGGAUCAGGUAGGAAUCCCCGCUGAACUUAAGCAUAUCAAUAAGGCGGAGGAA
rnacentral:rRNA from 1 species